rnacentral:lncRNA from 10 species
UUUACUUCUGUGUAUGUCUAUAAUUUUCCUUCAAUAGUACAUUAUAUAUAUGUGACAUUUUUUUGAAAAUGACAUGCUCCUUGGCCUGACACAUACAAAAAAGAGGUAGGCUGGGGCCUUCAAUGAUCUGGCCCCAACCUAUCUCUCAGACCAUGUCUCCAGGUGUUCCCCACCCAAUUUAUAGGUUCCUGCACGCAUCUGCUGUUUUCUUUAACUGCGGGGCCUUUGCAUGUGUUAUUUUCCCUCUGUUAAAUGCCUUUCCCACUUUUCUUUCCUUAUUUAACUCUCAUUCAGCCUUUAAAACUGAUGUUCAGUGCCAACUCCUCCAAGAGCUUCAUUGAAUCUAUAACCCAGCUACUGUCACUCCUCCUCUGGGUCUCCAUGCCAGCCUGGGUUUGCCUGUGUUUUACCACCUACCCCAAGAUAUUAAACCACCCAUUUAUGGGUCUGCCUCUAUCAACUGUGAGUCUUUGGGGGCCUGACACAUUAUAACUGCUCAUUAAGUGUCUAUUAAGAUAACAGAACCGUGUGACUUACAGGGAUUAGCUUAACCUUUCUGAGUCUCUAUUCAUGGUCUCCACACUGAAAACAAUGACAACAACAAGAAGCAGUAGAGGGUGAUGUGGGCAGUUGUGCAGAGUAGAAGAGAAGGAGUUUGUAAAAGGGCCUAACCUGGUGACCUGCACAUACAGGGUCUAAGUCAUUGCGAAUUCUCACAAAUAGCUCACUGUUGAGUGCGUGCCAACCCAGGCAAACUGGCUGUGUGACAUCUGUAAAAUGGGAGCAAUGAUUCUUCAAGGGAGACUUCAGAGAAUUCCCAAGGGUUCUUCGAGUUGUACAGUUACAGCUAUCUGUUGACUCACUGGCAAUAGUGAUGGAGUGGUGUGUGUGUAUGUGUGUGUGGGUGUAUGUGUGUGUUGGUGCAUGUUGAGAGAGAGGAGUCUGAUUGAUGAUGUUUUUGUCCCCUGGAGGGCAGCUUACAAUCCAGAGAUCAACCUCAUUGCUGAUCCCACAUUGCCUCUGGAGGAUGUGGGAGCCAACUGGCCUUCAAGACUGAUCUGCCACUUACAUAAAAAACAGGAACAUCUCCUGAACUGGGCUAGGCAAGUGAAACAGAGGCAAGUCCAAGUUCUGCAUAGUGGUCUGGUUUUCCCCACUGCUGUGUGACCUUAGUCAAGUUACCAGACUUCCCUGGUGAGGCCUCACCGUUACCAACUGUCUGACUCAGUGAUCUCUAAGCGCCCUUCCACUGGACUGUAUCUAUGAAUGGGUUGGGGCUAAUACUUAGUCCUCCAGUAAGCAGCAGUUCUCAUCUAUGAAUUCAAAAUGAAGAUUCAUUCAUUCAUUCAGCAGAUAGGCAAUGAGCUUCUUUUCUGUGCCAGGCACUGUCCUGGACCCAGGCGCCAGGGCAGUGAGCAAGACAGACCCAUGGCUUAUCUUAGUAGGAGAGCCAAUAUAAAAUAAGUCACACAAAUAAUUAAUAAUUAUAAUUAUGACCAGUCUUAGGGAGGAACACUUCAAGGUGCUGUGAGAUGAUACCCACCCUGCUUCAUAAGGUUGUACAGAUUCAUGAGACCGAUUAUGUGUGCAUCACAAAGCACGGUGAGUGAUGGCUCACUGGGGUGCAGGACGCCUUGGCUUUGAUGCGUUUUAUGAGGUGCCUCUCUGUUCUGGCUCCCCAUAUAAUUCCAUUACGCACCCUCUAAUUACAAGAAGCUUAUCACCUCUCCCAGCAAUCAGUUUGAGCUCUUAGCAAUUCUAGCUGAUGUUCAGCUGAGCAGCAACUCUUCCACCUGAGCAAUUAUCCACUUGGCUGAUUGCCACUCAAGCCUCCAAGUUUGGUCCGAUUAGGCAUUAACCAGAGGAAGGGUGGCGGGGCAGCCCCACGGGCCCUUUGAUUAGUCACGUGCAGAGUAGCAGGCGACUGUCUUCCCUCGGGGGCCAAGGCUGGGCUCCAGCCUGUCCAGCGCAGGGACUGUCUGCAGCCACUCUCCUGACCCACUCCUGGUCCUUCUCCCUGCUGGCCCCAGGACCUUUCUGGUGGGUCUUCAAGCCUCCAGUCUCCCAUGCACCAGGGAAAUUGACUCCUAGUGCCCUCCAAGCAUGCUCAGAAACUUCUCAUUCCCUGAUAUCUAAAAUUCUCUCUCUUCCUGCUGAAAUUGUACCUCUCUGUGUUGGUAUAGCUCAUAUUCCACUCCCCUUUGUGAGCACAUCCUGACCAAGCCUUUGACCUGACCAAGAAGUAAUAAUAAUAAUAAUAGGCUGGGCGCAGUGGCUCACACCUGUAAUCCCAGCACUUUGAGAGGCCGAGGCGGGUGGAUCACGAGGUCAGGAGGUCGAGACCAUCCUGGCCAACAUGGUGAAAUCCUGUCUCUACUAAAAGCAUAGAAAAUUAGCUGGGUGUGGUGCCGUGUGCCUGUAAUCCCAGCUACUCAGGAGGCUGAGGCAGGAGAAUCGCUUGAACCCGGGAGGUGGAGGUUACAGUGAGCCAAGAUCACGCCACUGCACUCUAGCCUGGUGACAGAGCAAGACUCCAUCUCAAAUAAUAAUAAUAAAAUAAUAACAGCUCAUCUUUAUGUCAGCACUCUGCAUGAAUUAUCUAAUUUCUCUGAAUACCACCACAAUGGAUUAGGUGCUAUUAUCAUUCUCUGUGUUUCAGAUGAAGAAACUGAAGCUCAGAAAAGCUUUAAUUACUUGGCCAAGGUCACUGGUCUAGACUCAGCUAAGAUCCAAGCCCCGGUCUGUCUGAAGCCCUUAACCCAGCAUUUUGUGCACUGCCUGGGUCUCCCCUCUCCUCACAACCCCUGUGUGACCCUGGCCUGGCGUGUGCCUCUCUUCACUUUAGCUCCCUCCCUACUCUAUUGGAAGUUCCUCAGGGAUGGGUCUAUAUCUAACUCAGUGGUUCUCAAUCAAGGCUGCACAUUGGCAUCACCUGGGAAGCCCAGGCCCCAGACCCAAACCAAUUACAUCAGACUUCCUGUGGGUAGGACCCAGGCAUCAGUAUUCAUAACUGAUUCUGAAGCCCUUUCCUGGACCUCAGCGUCCCUCUUUCAAUAACGGAGGUGUUGAACUCUGAUCUUUAACAUCCACCUCUAACAUUCUAGAGUUCUAAAGUUUUUACAGGGGUGCCGCCGUAGGCUUCUAAAGAAAGAACUAGAAGAGUCAUGUCCAUUUCCCCUAUUUGCCUGGGGAAAGCUGUCUUCUUCCCUAUGAACUGGGUUGAGGCCCCUUUACACUGCAUUCUCCUUGGGGAAGGUCACAGAGCAGGAUGAGAAUGGAACCGGGAGACAGGAACAAAGCAGAGACCCUGAAGCCUGGUCUGUGGGCAGAAAAGCCUCUAGAGGCCCGACUAUCAAAGGGACAUGAUGCCUUUAAGGAGGAUGAAGUCAUCGGGGGAUGAGGCCACCUGGCUCUGCAGCCAGGGCUGCUGCCGAAAAGGAGGAGCAGAAGGUGGAAGGUGCUUUGGGCACCAUACUUGCCCCACCAUAGUGCUGGUCCUGAUCCAACUUAGAAGGUACCUGAAGUGACAGCCCACUGAGACUGCAUCAGGUGGCAGCUGGUGCCUCCCCAAAGGAUGACUGGCGACUGUUAGCAGAAGGAGCAGAAUGGAUGCCAGACAGGUGAAAUACAGGUGCCCACACCCUGAGGCUUUAGUGUAGAGUAGCUAAUAACAUGACUCUGGAGUUGGAUGAAUCUGGAUUAAAUCCAGGGUCUCUUCUCAAUAGUUACUUGAUUUGGACAAAUCAGCUUCCUUCUCUGAACCUCAGUGUGUUUAUCUACAAAACAGUACUAACAACAGUAGCAUAUGUUGAUCUCUGUCUUCUGGAUCUUCAUUCCUUACCCUUGUCCUUACAUCAGUGUGCCCCAAACUUCCCACUAAGGGCACUUAAUUGCAAAAGAGAGUGGGCUUGGUUUUCUGGGGGCUGGGAAUGGAGCCUAAAACCACAGACAGCAGUCACAGCAUUUCCUUUGACAUGCACAUAAGCCAUACAGCCAGCAAGUCCACUCUUGAGGAGAUAGCCAAGGGAAAAGUGCCUAUGUCCACAAAAAGACAUGCAUAGGAAUGUUCAUAGCAUUGCUAUUCAUAAAAUCCAACAACUGGACACAACCCAAAUGUCCUUUAACAGUAGAGUAGGUAAAUUGAGCAAUACUACAGAACCAUGGAAAACAGCAAGCUACUGCUAUACAUGAUGAUAUGGAGGAAUCUCAGAUAAAAUCUUGAGAAAAGGAUGCCAGACUCAAAAUAGCAUAUGCUGUAUAAUUCCAUGAAUGUGAAGUUCAAGAACAGAUAAAACUGAUUCAGGUGACAGCAGAAAGAAUAGUGGUUACCUUGAAAGGUAGAGAUGUAUAUCAAUUGGAAGGGGACAUGAAUGGAAAUGUAUGUCAAAAUUCAUUCAACUGUGCUAUUAAGAUUAGGGAGCUUGGCCGGGUGCAGUGUCACGCCUGUAAUCCCAGCAAUUUGGGAGGUCGAGGUGGGCAGAUCACUUGAGCUCAGGAGUUUGAGAUGAGCCUGGGCAACAUAGUGAGACCCUGCCUCUACUAAAAAUACAAAAAAUUAGCUGGGCAUGGUGGUGUAUGCCUGUGGUCCCAGCUAUUCAAGAGGCCGAGGAGGGAGCAUCGCUUGAGCCUGGAGGAUGGAGGUUUGCAGUGAGCCAAGAUUGCGCCACUGCACUCCACCCUGGGUGACAGAGCAAGACCCUAUCUCAAAAAAAAAAAAAAAAAAA